rnacentral:rRNA from 1 species
GAUCCUGGCUCAAGAACGAACGCUGGCGGCAUGCCUAACACAUGCAAGUCGAACGAGACCUUCGGGUCUAGUGGCGCACGGGUGCGUAACGCGUGGGAACCUGCCUUUAGGUUCGGAAUAACUCAGGGAAACUUGAGCUAAUACCAUAUAAUGUCUUCGGACCAAAGAUUUAUCGCCCUGAGAUAAGCCCGCGUAGGAUUAGCUAGUUGGUGGGGUAAAGGCUCACCAAGGCGACGAUCCUUAGCUGGUCUGAGAGGAUGAUCAGCCACACUGGGACUGAGACACGGCCCAGACUCCUACGGGAGGCAGCAGUGGGGGAAUAUUGGACAAUGGGCGAAAGCCUGAUCCAGCAAUGCCGCGUGAGUGAUGAAGGCCUUCGGGUUGUAAAGCUCUUUUACUCGGGACGAUAAUGACGGUACCGAGAGAAUAAGCCCCGGCUAACUCCGUG